rnacentral:rRNA from 1 species
GUCUAUGGCCAUACCACCCUGUACGCGCCCAAUCUCCUCUGAUCUGGGAAGCUAAGCAGGGUUGGGCCUGGUUAGUACUUGGAUGGGAGAACAUUUAGGCUAUCCUGCCUCUCGGAAAUU